rnacentral:rRNA from 1 species
UACACACCGCCCGUCACACCAUGGGAGUCAGUUGCUCCAGAAACGGCUGCGCUAACCCGCAAGGGGGGCAGGUCUUUAAGGAGCGACUGGUAACUGGGGUG